ensembl:lncRNA
ACCACUUAUCAGUCUACAGUAGCAAUAUGUAAAUUCAUAAACAAUAAUUUCUCCAGCCAUCAUUAAACUGGUCAUCAAAACUGAGUAGGACACAGAAGUAAUCAUGCGCCUGCAUUGCUCUACCCAAAUUUGCUAGCCAGUGUCAAAUACUCACAGGGUCCCCAACAAACCUCGCUCUCAGAAACACCUCUGAUUUCUUUUUUGCAGUAAGUACUUAAUUUAACAAAAGUUAGGAGAGAUUUAAACAGUAUUAUUGGCCACAGACACCAUGAAGUGUUAAAAAUCAGUAGUAAGAAGAAUUAACUACAGAAAGUUAAUAUAAUUAAGGCAGUGCCUAAAGGCCUCUUAUCGCAGUAGACUCUACCUUGGCAAAUCUGAACUGAUAUCCGUCCACUUAUCAGCCUUCUGAACAAAAAGCACCACUUGGGACAUCUCCAGCGCUGGUCUGGAGCCAUCCUGAGCAGCCCCUGAGGCGAGGAAGGCCCUGCUCGGCCCACUGCGAAGGCCGCAUGGCCCUCACCACUGGCCGCCAUGCGUGUGAGGAAAGGAGCGACAACAGCACGUCCUAGAGGCGUCGUUCAUUCCGCACAGCUCUGGUGGGCUGCGGGCACGCUAUGGCCGAGGACUUCUGCCAGUCUCCUCUGGCAGCCCAGCUGUGCCUAUUCAUCAUCUUCUGCUUCAUGGCACUAUUAUUUUGGUCCGUUUGGCCUAUAUCAGAAACCACAGACCAAGAAGUUGACACACUGGAUGGUCUCUUCUCCUUAUGUUAUUCAGCCUUAUUAGAGCAAGAAGAAACAAAGGGAAAAAAUAUCCCACUGAAACUCAAGUCUGGCCACAGCCAGCCUCUCCUGAACUGCUGCGGUGGCUUUCAUCUUACUGUGAAUGUCAUGCCACUCCUGGGGGAAGAGAUGGUGGCAGAGCAACAGCAAAAAAAAAAAAAAUAAAUAAAAUUACACACAACUGUGUUGAACGGUGCCAAAUCUGUCCCUCCCAGUGCUGGUUAAAGAGGCAAAGUUUCUCAGGCUUCCCUGUAAGGUCACAGCUGGUACUUCGAUGAAUUUUCUUAUUACAUGGGAACGAGGCAGAGGUUCAUAGAGAGAGACAGAUGGUGAGGAGCAAUGUUAUUUAUCCUAAUGUGCAUGUGAGACAAAGAGCUUUUUGGCAUACCUCUUGAGCUGAGUCUGAGGGCAGCCAAUCCACGCCAAGUGUUUUAAUCUCUCUACUUUUUAUUCCUUCCCUUGGCAAGUCCAGCCCUACUUGUCCUCAGUGUUUACAUGAAUCACACUAGAUGUUUUCUGAGAUUUAGGCUCUGAUGAGCAAUUAGGCAAAAACAAGAGCAACAAACAUGCCAACCCCAGCCAAACUUGCCCACUGCCAUGCAAUUGCACCCGCGUGGGCCACCUUCUCUGCCUAACGAAUCAUGAUAGCAAGUGGAAAUAAGCAGUUCUGAGGAGAUAGCUUCAGGAUUUGAGUUGUAGACAUACUUACUAAUCACACCAAAAAUGCAAAUUGUGGCUGCAGCUUUCAGGUGGGAAGGGUAAGGGAAUCUUCUUGUUAGAGGGAGGGGGAAUAGUAAUCAAGGCGCAAGACAAGACAUCAACUGUGGGAACGGAGAAUCGGCAACAAGAAGGAAAAAAUGUUGGUUGCAUAUUGGUUUGAGUGUAGCUUAAAAUAUGAGGGAGGGGAAGACUUUGAUCUCUGUGGAACAAUGCUGUUGCUGGGAGGACCCUGCUCAUUGCAACUGAAUUAUUCUUGGAUUUAAGCAGCGAUACAAAGGAGAAUCUGCUUGCCUGAGUCCAACCUCCUUAUCUUGCUGCAAAUGUCAAAAUUCAGAUAGCCAUCAUAGUAGAAACACAUCUGGAGUUAAUGCUAAAAUCAUGUGAGCAGGGACUUCCAGGAAAGACCUCGCAGAAGCAGAGGCAGUACUUACAGGAGAAGAUAAGA